AGAUCGCGCCACUGCACUGCAGCCUGCACGACAGAGCGAGACUCCGUCUCAAAAAAAACCAAAAGUUACCCAGCAACCCGAGUCAUAUCCUGAUGAUAUCCAUGCUCCUCAGUCACGCAUCCCGUGGUGCAGGGGCUGACCCCAAGAGGAGCUGCUGCCCCCAGAGGGUGGGGAGCCGAGGCAGGGCCUGGGUCAGACUUACCAGGCUAUGCUCCCAGCCCAGCCCUCACUAGGGACCCCCGAGUGCAUCUCUCUCCUCUCCAGGCCUCUGUUUCUCCAUCUGUGCAACCACAGUGUUGGACAUGGUAGUCCCAAGUGUCUGCUCGUAACUUUGCCCUCUCUGUGCCCCCAG
rnacentral:lncRNA from 10 species